rnacentral:tRNA from 2 species
GUGUACCUAGCUCAAUGGUCAGAGCAUCACUCAUGAAUGGUGAGGUUGUGGGUUUGACUCCCACAGUACACA